AGGUCUGUUCCCAAGAGUCCAAUCAGCUCUGGAUGCACUAACGGCACUGAGUUUCUGGACCUACGAGGCUGAUGACACCAUGGAGCCAUGGGCAGAGGUGUUAAGUGAGAAGCAGGCACUAUUUGAUAAUGGGCCAGGACAUUCCUACAGAAUUCCAAAAACCGUUCACCUGUGGCCAGCAGCAGAAGAAGGUAUGCAAAGAGAAGAGAAAGAAGGAUGCAAUGUCCACACAUGCUAAAGGAAGCUGGUAACUGCAACAGUCACAUGAGGAUGGAGAGUCUCUUCCUUGUACAGAGCAAAUAGCACGGCCCCUGGAGCUCAUUGGCAUGGGUUGUCCAACUCCCCACUGAAGGGAGCUUUGGGAGCCAUGGCUUACGGUGCAGACAUGGCCAAGUCCAAGAACCACAACACACAUGACCAGUUCCAAAAACGGCACAGAAAUGGUAUCAAGAAACCUCAGUCACAAAGAUCGGUGUCUCUAAAGGGGGUGGAUCCCAAAUUCCUGAGGAACAUGCCCUUUGCCAAGAAGCACAGCAAGAAGGGCCUAAAGAAGAUGCAGGCCAACAGUGCCAAGGCCAUGAGUGCACGUGCCAAGGCUAUCAAGGCCCUCGUAAAGCCCAAGGAGGUUAAGCCCAAGAUCCCAAAGGGUGUCAGCCGCAAGCUCAAUCAGCUUGCCUACACUGGCUACCCCAAGCUUGGGAAGCAUGCUUGUGCCCGCAUUGCCAAGGCGCUCAGGCUGUGCCGGCCAAAGGCCAAGGCCAAGGAUCAAACCAAGGCCCAGGCUGCAGCUCCGGCUUCAGUUCCAGCUCAGGCUCCCAAAGGUGCCCA
rnacentral:lncRNA from 1 species